UACAGAGGUGGCAAGCGUUGUUCGGAAUUACUGGGCGUAAAGGGCGCGUAGGCGGUCUUCUAAGUCUUGUGUGAAAUCCCUCGGCUUAACUGAGGAACUGCACGGGAUACUGGAUGGCUUGAGUUCGGGAGAGGGAAGCGGAAUUCCGGGUGUAGCGGUGAAAUGCGUAGAUAUCCGGAGGAACACCGAUGGCGAAGGCAAUCCCCUGGGCCUGCACUGACGCUCAUGCACGAAAGCGUGGGGAGCAAACAGG
rnacentral:rRNA from 1 species